rnacentral:misc_RNA from 1 species
AGUGUUGACAAUAAAUAAAAAAAAAUAUCAAAACAAGUAAUUAUGAGUAUAUCCAUUUUUGUAUGUAAUGGUGAUUACAUUACUUAAGUGUAAUUAAUUACAUUAUGUAAUUACCAUUCUAUUACAUCAAGUUGUCUUGUGUUGCCAAAGUAAUCAAAUAUGUAUUACAAUCACGAUUACAUUACACCUUUGAUUACGUCAUACCAAACAUUGCUUUACUUCUUUGAGUUCUCAUUGCUUGCUAGAAACUUAGUGAUGAAUUGAUAUAUUGGAAUGGGUUGUUU